GACGAACGCUGGCGGCGUGCUUAACACAUGCAAGUCGAACGGUAAGGCCCUUCGGGGUACACGAGUGGCGAACGGGUGAGUAACACGUGGGUGAUCUACCCUGCACUUCGGGAUAAGCCUGGGGAACUGGGUCUAAUACCGGAUAGGACUCCGGACUGCAUGGUCUGGGGUGGAAAGCUUUUGCGGUGUGGGAUGGGCCCGCGGCCUAUCAGCUUGUUGGUGGGGUGAUGGCCUACCAAGGCGACGACGGGUAGCCGGCCUGAGAGGGUGACCGGCCACACUGGGACUGAGAUACGGCCCAGACUCCUACGGGAGGCAGCAGUGGGGAAUAUUGCACAAUGGGCGCAAGCCUGAUGCAGCGACGCCGCGUGAGGGAUGACGGCCUUCGGGUUGUAAACCUCUUUCAGCACAGACGAAGCGCAAGUGACGGUAUGUGCAGAAGAAGGACCGGCCAACUACGUGCCAGCCGCCGCGGUAA
rnacentral:rRNA from 1 species